rfam:Morus notabilis contig10677, whole genome shotgun sequence.
UGUCUAGGAUGAUAACUACGAAGGCUUGUUUCUCAAAAACUUUUGCAGUGGCCGCCUAGGAGCUUUUGCUUUCGCCAGGCGUGAGAGUUAGUGCUGCUUAAUCUUUCCUUGGAUGUCUGAGCUA